rnacentral:rRNA from 1 species
AAAGUAUUAUUAAAAUUGUUUGAUAAGGAGUUAUUAAUAAAAAUAAUUUUAGUGGAUAUGUUUUAGUAUAAUUUAUGGAAUAGAUUAAAUGUAUAAUAGGGAAGUAGUACUGUGAAGGAAAUAUGAAAUAGGUGAAAUAAUUAUUGGGAUAAAAGAAGAAUAGAUUUUGUACCUUGUGUAUCAGGGUUUAUUAAAUAAUAGUAAUGAUUUAUAAUUCUCGAAUUAAAAAGAGUUAAGAUGAUAUAAUAGUUAAUGUAUUAUUAUUAUUAAUAAUAUUAUCUUGGGGACGAAAUGUUAAACGUUUUUUAAGUUAUCUAGUUUUUCAAGAAAUGAAUUUAAUUCAUGUUAUAUGGAGUAAUUAUUUAAUUAAUGUAAUAGAUUAUUUUUUAUAACAAAUAUAUGAAGGGAUAAGCUUUUAUAUAAGAAUUAUAAACUGUAAAUUUUUUGCAAGGAGUUGUAGGCUUUAAAUUAGCUAUUAAUAAAAUAAUGUUAUAAAUUGUUUUGUAAAUAAGUUAUUUUUUAAUAGUUUUAAUUUGUGUAUUGGAAUAUUAUAUUGAAUAAGUUAAUAUAAGUAAUGAUGAUAAAAUAAGUAUAUAAAAUUGUUUACUAUAAUAUUUUAAGGAAUUUAUAAUAAGGAACUAGGCAAAAUAUCACUCGCCUGUUUAUCAAAAACAUCUCCUUUUGUGUUUAUUUAAGGUAGGGCCUGCCCACUGAAACUUAUUUGAAGGGCCGCGGUAUUAUGACCGUGCAAAGGUAGCAUAAUCAUUAGUCUUUUAAUUGAAGGCUGGAAUGAAUGGUUUGACGAGGUGAUAACUGUCUCAUUAUAAUAAGUAGAAGUUAACUUUUAAGUUAAAAGGCUUAAAUUUUAGUGGAGGACGAGAAGACCCUAUAGAGCUUUAUAUAUAGAUUUAGAUUUGCAUUCAGUGGUUUAUAAAAUUUUAGGUUUAUUAUAUUGUGUUGGGGUGACAUAAAGAUAAAAUUAACUCUUUAUUUUUAGGACAUUGAUGUAUGGGUUAUUGAUCCAUUUUUAAUGAUCAUAAGAUUAAGUUACCUUAGGGAUAACAGCGUAAUUUUUCUUGAGAGUUCAUAUCAACAGAGAAGAUUGCGACCUCGAUGUUGGAUUAAGGAAUAUAAUUGGAUGCAGCAGUUUAAUUAAUAGGUCUGUUCGACCUUUAAAUCCUUACAUGAUCUGAGUUCAGACCGGUGUGAGCCAGGUCGGUUUCUAUCCUCAUUAUUAUUUUAUAUCUUAGUACGAAAGGACCAGAUAUUUUAAAUAUUUUAUUAUGUUUGAUUAUUAUUA